CCCGAGGACUCGGCCGGCAGUCACACCGGCGGUCCGGCCGAAGCGUGCAGACCCGACCGUCACCCUGGCAUGCAGGAGACGAGCUUCCACGAGCUUUUGCUGGAAGAUGUUGACAUGCUGCAGCCGC
rnacentral:lncRNA from 1 species